rfam:Schistosoma haematobium scaffold1515_15, whole genome shotgun sequence.
AUCCAGCUGACGAGUCCCAAAUAAGACGAAACUCGCCUUGUCCUGGAU